rnacentral:rRNA from 1 species
UACGUAGGGUGCAAGCGUUAAUCGGAAUUACUGGGCGUAAAGCGUGCGCAGGUGGUUGUGCAAGUCUGAUGUGAAAUCCCCGGGCUCAACUUGGGAACUGCAUUGGAGACUGCACGGCUAGAGUGCGUCAGAGGGGGGUAGAAUUCCACGUGUAGCAGUGAAAUGCGUAGAGAUGUGGAGGAAUACCGAUGGCGAAGGCAGCCCCCUGGGAUAGCACUGACACUCAUGCACGAAAGCGUGGGGAGCAAACAGG